UACGGAGGAGGCAAGCGUUAUCCGGAAUUAUUGGGCGUAAAGCGUCCGUAGGUGGUUGUACAAGUCUUUUGUCAAAGCGCGAGGCUUAACUUCGUAAGGGCAGGAGAAACUGUAGAGCUAGAGUGCGGUAGGGGUAGAGGGAAUUCCCAGUGUAGCGGUGAAAUGCGUAGAUAUUGGGAAGAACACCGGUGGCGAAAGCGCUAUACUGGGCAUGCACUGACACUGAGGGACGAAAGCUAGGGGAGCGAAAGGG
rnacentral:rRNA from 1 species